rnacentral:rRNA from 1 species
AUUGAACGCUGGCAGCAUGCCUUACACAUGCAAGUCGAACGGCAGCACGGGAGCAAUCCUGGUGGCGAGUGGCGAACGGGUGAGUAAAGUAUCGGAACGUGCCCAGUCGUGGGGGAUAACGUAGCGAAAGUUACGCUAAUUCCGCAUACGAUCUAUGGAUGAAAGCGGGGGAUCGCAAGACCUCGCGCGAUUGGAGCGGCCGAUAUCAGUUUAGGUAGUUGGUGGGGUAAAGGCUCCCCAAGCCGACGAUCUGUAGCUGGUCUGAGAGGACGACCAGCCACACUGGGACUGAGACACGGCCCAGACUCCGACGGGAGGCAGCAGUGGGGAAUUUUGGACAAUGGGCGAAAGCCUGAUCCAGCCAUGCCGCGUGCAGGAUGAAGACCUUCGGGUUGUAAACUGCUUUUGUACGGAACGAAAAGGUUUGGCCUAAUAAGCUGAGCUCAUGACGGUACCGUAAGAAUAAGCACCGGCUAACUACGUGCCAGCCGCCGCGGUAA